AUACUUACCUGGUGUCGGGCUUUCCGGUGAUCAUCGAGGCCGGGGUCCCGUGCCGAGGCUUUCCAUUGCACUUCGGUUGGCUGACGCGCGCCACUAUCCCAAAGCGGGAUAGGUGGGGCAUGUAAUUUUUGGUAGUGGGGCUAGGCGUUCGCGCCAGCUCCUG
rnacentral:snRNA from 1 species